AGGACGAACGCUGGCGGCGUGCUUAACACAUGCAAGUCGAGCGAGACCCACCUUUCGGGGUGGUGUUCUAGCGGCGAACGGGUGAGCAACACGUGGGCAACCUGCCCUCAGCUCUGGGAUAACUCCAAGAAAUUGGGGCUAAUACCGGAUAUGACCGCUGACCGCAUGGUCUGGUGGUGGAAAGAUUUAUCGGCUGGGGAUGGGCCCGCGGCCUAUCAGCUUGUUGGUGGGGUAGUGGCCUACCAAGGCGACGACGGGUAGCCGGCCUGAGAGGGUGACCGGCCACACUGGGACUGAGACACGGCCCAGACUCCUACGGGAGGCAGCAGUGGGGAAUAUUGCGCAAUGGGCGGAAGCCUGACGCAGCGACGCCGCGUGGGGGAUGACGGCCUUCGGGUUGUAACCUCUUCAGCAGGGACGAAGCGAAAGUGACGGUACCUGCAGAAGAAGCACCGGCCAACUACGUGCCAGCAGCCGC
rnacentral:rRNA from 1 species